rnacentral:rRNA from 1 species
AACGAACGCUGGCGGCAGGCUUAACACAUGCAAGUCGAACGGGCGUAGCAAUACGUCAGUGGCAGACGGGUGAGUAACGCGUGGGAACGUGCCUUUUGGUUCGGAACAACCCAGGGAAACUUGGGCUAAUACCGGAUAAGCCCUUACGGGGAAAGAUUUAUCGCCAAAAGAUCGGCCCGCGUCUGAUUAGCUAGUUGGUGAGGUAAUGGCUCACCAAGGCGACGAUCAGUAGCUGGUCUGAGAGGAUGAUCAGCCACACUGGGACUGAGACACGGCCCAGACUCCUACGGGAGGCAGCAGUGGGGAAUAUUGGACAAUGGGCGCAAGCCUGAUCCAGCCAUGCCGCGUGAGUGAUGAAGGCCCUAGGGUUGUAAAGCUCUUUUGUGCGGGAAGAUAAUGACGGUACCGCAAGAAUAAGCCCCGGCUAACUUCGUGCCAGCCGCCGCUGUAACAC